rnacentral:rRNA from 1 species
CCUACGGGAGGCAGCAGUGAGGAAUAUUGGUCAAUGGGCGAGAGCCUGAACCAGCCAAGUCGCGUGAAGGAUGAAUGCCCUAUGUGUUGUAAACUUCUUUUAUAAGUGAAUAAAGUGAGGAACGUGUCCCUUUUUGUAUGUACCUUAUGAAUAAGGAUCGGCUAACUCCGUGCCAGCAGCCGCGGUAAUACGGAGGAUUCGAGCGUUAUCCGGAUUUCUUGGGUUUAAAGGGUGCGUAGGUGGGUCGUUAAGUCAGUGGUUAACGUUUGUGGCGCAACCGUAAAAUGUCCGUUGAAACUGGCUGCCUUGAGUACAGUUGAGGUAGGCGGAAUUCGUGGUGUAGCGGUGAAAUGCAUAGAUAUCACGCAGAACUCCGAUUGCGAAGGCAGCUUACUAAACUACCACUGACACUGAGGCACGAAAGUGUGGGUAUCAAACAGGAUUAGAUACCCUUGUAGUC